rnacentral:ncRNA from 1 species
CUUUAAUUAGUACUAAUUUUUAAUUUAUUUUUUUAUUGAUCAGUUUGAUUCUGGCUUUAAUUUAUUAAUUAUUUAUAAAUUUUAUACAUGUAUAUAUUUGGGUAAUAAAUUUAUUUUAUGGCAGUAUUUAGUAUUAAAUAUGAAGUUAUUUUUGAUUUGGUUAUAUAAUAUAAUAUUGUAAAAGUUUGUGCCAGCAUACGCGGUUAUACAAUAAAUGUUAAUUAAUAUUUUUGGGAUAGAUUAGUUAAAUUGAUUUUUGAAAUUAUUAUUUUAUUUUUUUGGUGAAAUUUAAAAUUUUAUUAAUUUUAUUUUGAUUCUUUAAAAUUUAAGAUUUAAACUAGGAUUAGAUACCCUAUUAUUUUGAAUAUAAUUAUUUCCUAGGUAGUAAUAGUUUCGUUCUUUAAACCUAAAGAAUUUGGCGGUGUUUUAUUCUUGUUAGAGGAACCUGUUCCGUAAUCGAUAGUCCUCGUUUUAUCUUUCUAUAAUUAUUUGUUUGUAUAUCGCCGUUAUAAGCAAAUUUUUUUAGACUAUUUGCUUAAAAAGAUAUUUUUUUAUAUUUCAGGUCAAGGUGCAGCUUAUAUUAUAGUGGAAAUGGGUUACAUUCUAGUUGUUGAUCAGAUAUAGAUUUUAUAAUUUUAUUGAAGUUGGAUUUAAUAGUAAAUGUAGUUAUAGAUCUAUAUUGAUUAUAGUUCUAAAAUGAGUACAUAUCGCCCGUCACUCUCAUUUUUGAGAUAAGUCGUAACAAAGUAAGUGUACUGGAAAGUGUGCUUAGGUUGAAUA